rnacentral:lncRNA from 1 species
UGGGAAGAAGGGUUUUGGGUUUAACAUUUGACCCUUUUCUUGCUGCUUCUUCGUUAUCAUAGUUGUCAUCAUCUUCAUCGUCUCUGGCCAGCAAUGAAUCCUGAAAAGGGUUUUUGUUGUGGUUGAAAUUGUUGUUGUUAUGAAUGAUAGGCUAGGAAGCUGGGUCCGUGUAUAUAUAUGUAUAUAUAUAUGGGAAGAAAGGUUUUGGGUUUAACAUUUGGCCCUUUCUUGCUGCUUCUUUGUUAUCAUCGUUGUUGUCAUCUUCAUCGUCUCUGGCCGGCAAUGAAUCCUGAAAAGGGUUUUUGUUGUGGUUGAAGUUGUUGUUGUUAUGAAUGAUAGGCUAGGAAGCUGGGUCCGUAUCUUGGCAAGGCGACCCGGAAGGUACUAUAUAUGUUGUACAAGUGAGGUCUGCAGCCAUGGCGGAUGUAUUGUCUCCUUUGCGUUGAUUAUACUGAUCUAAGACUUGAAAAAUUACCGCAAAAAAGGGUGUAUGCACAUACAUCUGUAUAUAUACACAUAAAGGAAUGGCCCUUUUGAUUCUUCUUUGUCGUUAUCGUCGUCGUCAUCAUCUUCAUCUUCACAAUUUAUGUCCAUUGAUGAAUCCUGAGAUGGGGUUUUUGCUGUGGUUGAAAUUGUUGUCAUUAUUGUUGUUGUUAUUACUUUUUGGAACAGCCUCUCUACGUUCACGAGGUAGUGGUAAGUUACCUUACUUGUGUGAUUUUAAUGGGUAUGUUGUUGUUGUAUUAUUGUUUGUUGUUUGUAUGGAUAAGAGGCUGUGAUGAUUAAGGUGUCUAGAGUUCAUGGGGCAAGGGAGCAAGGCCCGUAUCUUGGUGGUGCGACCCGAAAGGUACUGUUUGUUGUGCAACUGAAGUCUGCAGCCAUGGCGGAUGCAUUGUUUUCUUUGCUCUCAUUAUGUAAAUCUGAACCUGAAAAUCGGAAGUUUCUGCAGUAUGUAUACAGAUACAUCUCUCUCUCUAUAUGUGUGUGUGUGUGUGUAUAUAUAUACACAUACAGGAAUAAAGGGCCCAGGGUUUAAGAUUUGACCCUCUUGUUGUCACUUCUUCUUUUUCCUCUUCAUCAUCAUCAUCUAUGAAUCCUUGAAAAGGAAUUUUGCCGUGGUCGAUAUUAUUAUUAUUAUUACUAUUAUUGUUGAUGUUACGAAGGAUAGGCUGUGAUGAUUUAAGGUGUCUAGAGUUCACGGGGCAAGGGAGCUGUGCCCUUAGCUUGGCGGGGCGACCCGGAAGGUACUGUUUGUAGUGCAACCGAUGUUUGCAGCCAUAGCAGAUGCAUUGUUUACUUUGCCCUGAUUAUCCGGAUCUGAGCCUUAAAAAGUAUCCCCAAAAGGGUAUACGUAUACACAUACAUCUCUCUAUACCUCUCUCUACGUAUAUACAUUUCUCUUUGUCUUCUUUUACGGGUGACCUGUAAGGUGUAUGUUUAUGUUAUUUUUUCUAAAAAAUACUCAAAGAAAGGGUAUACAUAUAUCUCUUUACAUAUAUACAGAGAUCUUAUGGCUUGUGAUGAUAUCUGAGAAGGGCUGUUGUUGUUGCUCUUAUGGAUGAGAGGCUGUGAUGAUUAAGGUGUCUAGAAUUCAUGGGGUAAGGGAGCUGGACCCGUAUCUUGGCGGGGAAACCUGGAAGGCCUAUUUGUAGUGUAACUGAGGUCUGCAGCCAUGGUGGAUGAGUUGUCUCUUUUGCCCUGAUUAUACUAAUCUGAGCCUUAUAGUGGAAAGAUUUUGGAGGAAGAAAGGUUCAGGAUUUAAGCUCUGACCCUUUUUGUUUCUUCUUCAUCAUUGUCAUCAUCUUCAUCUCUUCCUCAAAUUUAUGUCAGACUAUGAAUCUUGAAAUGGGGUUUUGCCGUGGUUGAAAUUGUUGUUGUUGUUGCUGCACUUGAGCCAAGGGUCUUUCUGAAGCAGCCUCUCUCCACGAGGUAGUGGUGAGUUCUGCGUGCACUCUCCCUCCCCAGACCUCAUUUGUGGGAUUUUAUUGGGCAUGUUGUUGUAUUAUUGUUUUAGUUGUUUUUAUGGAUAAGAGGCUGUGAUGAUUAAGGUGUCUAGAGGAUGUGGGGCGAGGGAGCUGGGCCUGUAUCUUGGCGGGGUGACCUGAUUGGUAGUGCAACUAAGGUCUGCAGCCAUGGCGGAUGCAUUGUUUUCUUUGUCCUGAUUAUACUGAUCUGAGCCUUUUGCUGUUUCUUCAUUGUUGUUGUCAUCCUUAAAAAGAGUUUUUGCUGAUAUUGAAAUUGUUGUGUUAUUACUCCCUCCGUUUCAAAAUAGUUGACCUUCUUUCUAAAAUUAUUUAUUUCAAUUUAGUUGUGCCUUUUGGAAUAUACUCAAAUUUUUAUUUUCAAAGCAUAAUUAAUAAGGCUAAUUUGGUAAAAUAAACCCCUAAUAAAAAUUUUCUUAGGGAGUGCCAGGUCAACAAGGGCCAACUAUUUUGAAACGGAGGGAGUAUUAUAAUUAUUAUUAGUAUUAUUGUUAUUGUUAUUGGCGUUUUUGUUUUUGUUGGUGUUAGUUGUCUAGAGUUCAUGGGGGCAAGGGAGCUGGGUUCAUAUCUUGGCGGGGUGACCUGGAAGGUACAGUUUGUAGUGCAACGAGGCCUGAAGCCAUGGCGGAUGCAUUGUUCCCUUUGCCCUCGUUAUACUGAUCUGAGCCUCAAAAUAGGAUGUUUCUGCAUUAUCUAUACAGAUACAGAUACAUCUCUCUCUAUACACACACACCACACAGGAAUGAAGGGUUAAGGCUUUAAGAUUUGACCCUUUGCUGUUCUUCUUCUUCUUCUUCUUCUCAUCUCUGAAUCCUGCAAAAGGGUUUUCACUGUUGUUGUUGUAUUGUUACAGGUGAGAGGCUGCGAUGAUUAAGCUGUCUAGAGUUCAUAGAGUAAGGAAGAUGGGUCAGUAUCUUGGCGGGACGACCCGGAAGGUACUAUUGGUAGUGCAAUCAAGUCUGCAGCCAUGACGGAUGUGUUGUAUCCUUUGCUGCUCUGACUGUACUGAUCUGAGCCUUAAAAAAUACCCUUAGGCCUCAUUUGUUUGCACUUAAUGGAGAUCUGAAUCUGAAUGGUUCAGAUUUCAGUCUAUUAAGUGCAUUUGUUUUUUUUUUUAUAAACUGCCUCUUAAUGUAUCUGAAAGCCUCUGAAUCAGUCAGAUAUGAAAAAGAGUCUGAAUGAUGUUCAGACACUUUUUAAAACAUAAUUUAUUCCCUCAAAACUCUCUUUAAAUAUUUUAAUUAUCACUCAAAUAAUAUUCAGACUCUUUUUAAAACGUAAUUUAUUCUCUCAAAACUCUCUUUAAAUAUUUUAAUUAUCUUUAAAUAUUUUAAUUAUUACUCAAAUAAUAAUUUUGAUGUUUAAGUUUUAUCUAAUAUUUUUUUCAUAUAAUAUACUAUUUUAUUAUGUUUAAAAUUUGAAUUACAUAUUUAUUACGAAUAAAUAUAUUACAUACAUUCGGAGGUUAAAAAACAAACAGUCUUAAUCAUUCAGUAUUCAGAUCUAGAAACAUCUUAAUCAUUCAAAUAUUCAUUCAGAUUUAGACGUCUUAAUCUUAAAAAAAACAAAUGCACCCUUAAAGGGUAUGCAUAUACACAUGCAUCUCUCUACUUAUAUACAGGAAGAUCUUAUGGCUGGUGAUGAACUCUGGGAAGGGUUUUGCCGUUGUUGAUGUUGUUGCGCUCAAGUAUGAAAGGCUGUGAUGAUUAAGGUGUCUAGAGUUCAUGGGGCAAAGGGGAGCUGGGUCCGUAUCUUGGCGGGGCGCCCCGGAAAGUACUGUUCGUUGUGCAACUGAGGUCUGCAGCCAUGGCGGAUGUGUUGUCUUCUUUGCUCUGAUAUUCUAAUCUGAGCCUUAAAAUUGAACUCUAGUUGUGGGAAUUCACCGGGUAUGUUGUUGUUGAGCCUUAAAAUUGGAAGUUUCUGCAGUAUGUAUAUACACAUACAUAAUCUCUCCCUCUGUAUAUGUAUAUGUACAUGGGAAGAAGGGUUUAAGAUUUGACUCUUUUGCUACUUCUGUUUCUUCUUCUUUUUCUGCUUUUUCCUUAUCAUCAUCUAUUGCCGGUGUUGAAAUCCUCGAAAAGGGAUUUUGCUGUGAUUGAUAUUGUUGUUGCUGCUGCUGUUAUAUAUGAGAGGCUGUGAUGAUUUAGGUGCCUAGAGUUCAUGGGGCAAAGGGGAGCUGGUUCCGUAUCUUGGAGGAGCGACCCAGAAGGCCUAUUUCUAGUGCAUCUGAGGUCUGCAACCAUGGUGGAUGAGUCGUCUCUUUGCCCUGAUUAUACUGAUCUAAGCCUUAUAGCGUAAAGGUUUUGGAGGAAGAAGGGUUUAGGGUUUAAGCUCUGACCCUUUUUGUUUCUUCUUCAUCGUCGUUGUUGGGUUCAAAAUCCAGAGGACGUCAUGCGGAAGCUUAAAGUUGCAUAUACUAAGAGAUGAUAAAUCAGAUGACAAAGAAAAACUAAACUAAAAACAUACUAUAAUAAUCCAUUUCAUGGUUUACUGUGUUAAGUACAUUCGCGGUCGAGGAACCUUUAAUUGAAAUUUCAGCUCUGAAUAAUGAUGCAUUGGAAAAAUGGGAAAUUCGAAGGUGAAAAAAAAUGGGAAU